GACGAACGCUGGCGGCGUGCCUAAUACAUGCAAGUAGAACGCACAGUUUAUACCGUAGCUUGCUACACCAUAGACUGUGAGUUGCGAACGGGUGAGUAACGCGUAGGUAACCUGCCUGGUAGCGGGGGAUAACUAUUGGAAACGAUAGCUAAUACCGCAUAAUAUUGAUUAUUGCAUGAUAAUUAAUGAAAGGUGCAAUUGCACCACUACCAGAUGGACCUGCGUUGUAUUAGCUAGUAGGUGAGGUAACGGCUCACCUAGGCGACGAUACAUAGCCGACCUGAGAGGGUGAUCGGCCACACUGGGACUGAGACACGGCCCAGACUCCUACGGGAGGCAGCAGUAGGGAAUCUUCGGCAAUGGACGAAAGUCUGACCGAGCAACGCCGCGUGAGUGAAGAAGGUUUUCGGAUCGUAAAGCUCUGUUGUAAGAGAAGAACGGGUGUGAGAGUGGAAAGUUCACACUGUGACGGUAUCUUACCAGAAAGGGACGGCUAACUACGUG
rnacentral:rRNA from 1 species